CACACACACACACCAAUGGUGGGAUCCCCGAUUUGUUUUCUUUGCUGUUGUUCUUCCAGCCGUGAGUACCACCAUGUGUCAGUAGAUCGAAUUGCUAGUUUGCUGCAACUUGAGAGUUGUACCGUUGGUAGCUGCGGGAGUGGUUUGGACAUGUUGUUGAUCUGAAGCAAGACCUGAUUCCUGCUCACUUAAUCUGCCCCUUUUUGUUUGAUAAUAUGGCGUAGUAUUACGAAGAUUACUAGUUGGAUCCGUAUACCACUGAGCAGCAAAAAGAUUAUACAUUGCUUUGUUUUAUUUUCUAAUUCGUUGCUCAGAUCGAUGGUUAGAUGGACAUGGUACUUUAGCUCCGGAAUUCUAAGCUUGCAAGUUUCUGAAUUCUAGGUCUGCACCGGUAUCAUGAGUUAAUCAGAUGCGUGUCACCAGCUAUAGUGAUGAUAUUGCCAUCAUUUUCCUGUACAGAGAGCAGUGCCUGCUACAAUCAAACUAUAGUUGCAUUAUUCUGUGCCAAUCAGUUUACAAAAAAAAAUUUGUCCUCUCAAACUAAUGUGUUGUCUUAUUUUCUCACUUUGGCUGGUACAGUGAUACCCAUCUAAUUGCAGUCGAGGGGAUAUGUGAUAACUUGAAACUGAGCACAGAACGUUCUUUCUUGGUUUGCAUUUGGUGUAACCCCCCUUGAUUGUUCUUUUUCCUCUGUCUUAUAAUCCUCUGAUUGUCAAUCCAGUCAUAUAUUGAUGAUGUAUUGAUCAUUGUUUAUCAGAAGUUUUCUACACAUUGCUGCUGGAUAGAGCAUCUAUUGCAACUACAAUUGGCGAUAUCUACACAGAUCUAUACAUAAAAGAUAAUAGGAAGUAAGCUUCUAUAGUGUGACGUAGAGGUAUUUUCAGAUAAAUAAAAGCAAGAACAUUAGAGAGCAUGCUGGGCCCUGAAUUUGGAGAAUCUAGGCGUAUAUCUGUACAAUAUUGUUGAGGUUGGUUGAUACAUGUAUGCACAUUUUUCAGAGCAACGUGCAGUGGAAGAAGCAGCCUGUGAACUGAAAUAGUUUGCAUUGGAAACAAGUGCUAUGAAAUACAAGGAUUUCAUCAAUUGCCUAUUAGAAGACCUAUUAAAAAGUAACGAUUAUUUUUGUAAAUCAAGGAUGAAAAGAAGACAACUGAUGUGCAAGGACGUGCAGGUACUCAACCACCUAGUGCGCAUGGAUGUGAUGACUUCGUAGUCUUAUGUAGCAUUUGGCCGUUUGUAGUAUUUCGGACUAGCCAACUUGUAAUCAUGAAUCUUAUGUGCGUUCUACCAUUUGGUGCUUCAAGUGUUCUGGAGUAGAAAUCUUGUGGUCAUGGAUGUGACUUUUAAGUUUUUUGGACCAUUUCGUGUUUCAACUCUUUUAGAAUAACAAAUAGUGGUCCUUUUAUGUGACUUGUGUUUCUGGACGGUGGUCAAGAUGGCCAAACUUUGCUUUGUCAAUGUUGUCUUGUUUUUGAACUUGUGAUCAAUAUAUAUGUAUGUUUGUGAACAUAUUAUCAAUGUUUGUGAACAUUUGAGCAUUGUGUAAUAUUUGAACAUGAGCAAUAUCCA
rnacentral:rRNA from 1 species